rnacentral:rRNA from 1 species
AGAGCGAACGCUGGCGGCAGGCUUAACACAUGCAAGUCGAGCGCCCCGCAAGGGGAGCGGCAGACGGGAGAGUAACACGUGGGAACAUACCUUUUGGUUCGGAACAACUGAGGGAAACUUCAGCUAAUACCGGAUAAGCCCUUACGGGGAAAGAUUUAUCGCCGAAAGAUUGGCCCGCGUCUGAUUAGCUAGUUGGUGAGGUAAUGGCUCACCAAGGCGACGAUCAGUAGCUGGUCUGAGAGGAUGAUCAGCCUCAUUGGGACUGAGACACGGCCCAAACUCCUACGGAAGGCAGCAGUGGGGAAUAUUGGACAAUGGGCGCAAGCCUGAUCCAGCCAUGCCGCGUGAGUGAUGAAGGCCUUAGGGUUGUAAAGCUCUUUCGUUGGGGAAGAUAAUGACGGUACCAAAGAAGAAGCCCCGGCUAACUUCGUGCUAGCAGCCGC